CCUACGGGGUGCAGCAGUGGGGAAUAUUGCGCAAUGGGCGAAAGCCUGACGCAGCGACGCCGCGUGAGGGAUGAAGGUCUUCGGAUCGUAAACCUCUGUCAGCAGGGAAGAACGGUCACUGUGCUAAUCAGCAGUGAAUUGACGGUACCUGCAAAGGACGCACCGGCUAACUCCGUGCCAGCAGCCGCGGUAAUACGGAGGGUGCGAGCGUUAAUCGGAAUUAGUGGGCGUAAGGCGCUCGUAGGCGGUAUGUCAAGUCAAGGGUGAAAGCCCCGCGCUCAACGGGGGAACUGCCUUUGAAGCUGGCAAACUGGAGUGUGUGAGAGGAUAGUGGAAUUCCAGGUGGAGGAGUGAAAUCCGUAGAUAUCUGGAGGAACAUCAGUGGCGAAGGCGACUAUCUGGCACAUAACUGACGCUGAGGAGCGAAAGCGUGGGUAGCAAACAGGAUUAGAUACCCCAGUAGUC
rnacentral:rRNA from 1 species